ensembl:lncRNA
UGGAGCUUUCCCCCGCGCGCGCGCUAACACACAUAAUUUUCACGGGCUAUAGCGCCGCUCAGUGGAUUUAUCUUAUUCCUCUAUGUUCAGUUAUAUAGUUUAUUGGGACCUUGGAGAACAAACAGAAACGUCCUGUCCUUUGCCCGGUUCUUUUCUUGGUUGAAUGUCCGCAUUUGUAAUUGUCAUUAUGUCUAGUAACUAUAAUGACCCGCGCAACUGUCAUUACGCGUGAUGUUUACGCCAAACGCGGUCCACGCGGUGUUUACUGACGUGUACUCACCAACACUGCUGGAUGCAAGAAUUAUUGUUGAAAAAUGAGUGUGUAACGCGUGACCCCUCAUUUCCCACCUCGCUGACACCCUCUUUUCUGCAUCUGAGCCUCAUCUUGCAGGAGAGGCAAUCCAAGCUUUUGCUAACUGCAGAUAUCGAAGAGGAAUCUUAAACGGGAGAAAUUCUAGUUAAAAAGAGCAAGAUGGAGAACUAUUGAUCCCUUAUCCCAAAGGUGUCCACCGUAUGCAGAUGUCCCAAAGGUGCACCAGAGAAGGCUCCAGCAUUUUGAAUGCAUCGCAACCUUUCAUACCUUUUCAACUGCAGGCGCAACACUUCAGCUAUUGAAGUUUUUACAGGACAGGCGAGGAAAGAGGAAUUGAGGGAAAGGAAUGAGCAAUGGACCUUGAGUCGAGACUCGAAAUUGGGUCACAAGAAGCACUGCUGUACAAGGCUGUUUUACCAUUUUUAAAAGUGCUGUUCCCAGUGCUGUGCCAGUUCCCAGACUAUAGCAUAAAGUCUAAAACUUUUAACACAUCUCUGAAUUUGCUGGUAGAAUGAAAUUGCAUUUUCACCACAGAUACUCAAUGGGCCAUUUCCUUUAAUCGUUUAAACACUUUGGCUCAGUCUAGAGCCAAACAGUAACCAGAGAGCUCAGAUACUGGCACAGGUCUUGAACCUGAUAACUUUUACAUGUUUGAUAGCUGUUGCAUCAUAAAUUAUUUCCACAGACUCCUGGGUUUUGAGGGAUCAUAUUCUGUCAGCUCUAGCUCCUGGUAAUAUCAUUUAAUGAUAUUAACAAAUUUGGUCCUCUAGUGUUUCGGUUUUAUCUGGGAAAUCUUAAACGCCUCCUUGGUGAAUACAUGGUUAUGAUAUUAUCCUGACCAGGCGGAUUGUGUUCUGGGUGUAUCAGGUGGCUAUUAAGUGUGGGGAAGCAGUGGUAAUAACCCAGUGUAUAAACCGCCGAGACGCUUGCUUACAGCCUCACAACAUUUCCUGUUGUAACUGAGAAAUAUCAGCUAGAAAGUCAGGAAAUAACAGUUACUUUUGAAGGAGGCAGACAUAAAAUGUUUAUUUUCUCUUUUCCUUCAUGGCUUCAUUUUCCAUGGUUAAAUCCCUCAUUAGCCUGCUUAAACUUCCUCCUCUGCAUCUGAUAUCAAACUCUGGCCAUCAUUAGCACUGCUUAAAGAGAGCAGCCAUACUCUUGUGAGUCAAAAAACGAGACUGUAGUUCACACAGGCUUCAUACUUAAUUUUUAAUUUACAUAAACGAUACAAGAUGCAUUUUGAAUACUGG